rnacentral:rRNA from 1 species
AGUGAACGCUGGCGGCGUGCUUAAUACAUGCAAGUCGAACGAAGUGGCGCACGGGUGAGUAAUAUAUAGUUAAUCUGCCCUACACAGAUGAACAACAGUUGGAAACGACUGCUAAUAUAUCAUAGUGUAGGAUGAGACUAUAUCGUAUCAGGUAGUUGGUAAGGUAAUGGCGUACCAAGGCUAUGACGCGUAACUGGUCUGAGAGGAUGAUCAGUCACGUUGGAACUGAGACACGGUCCAAACACCUACGGGAGGCAGCAGGAAGGAAUAUUGCGCAAUGAGAGAAACCCUGACGCAGCAACGCCGCGUGGAGGAUGACACAUUUCGGGGCAUAAACUCCGUUUAUCAGGAAAGCGGGACCUGGGGAAUAAGCACCGGCUAACUCCGUGCCAGCAGCCGCGGUAAUUC